AGCUGUGUGAUAUUCUGUCUUAGGGACCCGCUUUCAUACACCGACUCGUUUCCUACUGCUGGGGGUUCCGGCCGCUUCAAGACCUGAACAUGUUGGCAUCUAUAUGGUAACCUUCUGGGAGCGGGGGACCACCAGGUUGCCUAAAAAGGGGUGAACCGGCCCAGGUCAGAAACGGAGCAGGUCAAAACUCCCGUGUUGAUCAGUAGUGGGAUCGCACCUGUGAAUAGCCACUGCACUCCAGCCUGGGCAACAUAGCGACACCUGUGUUUU
rnacentral:SRP_RNA from 1 species